rnacentral:lncRNA from 1 species
GUAUGAGUACAGAAUCGUCCCAUACUGGACAUUUUCUAUGUUAUCCUAGUAUAUUAUCCGACAGUUAAGAAUAGAAUCUGAUCAAAUUUUGAAGUUGAACAUUUGGGAAUUUUUAAUUUUUGCCACGGACCAUUUAAUUUUCAUGGAGGAAGGGGCCUGGUAGUUUUUAGAAAACAAUAUUCUGACCCUGAUUUUGACUUAAACAAGAGUGCACACACUGAAAUGUCUCGCCUUCUUUACUUAUCCUUGAUACUAUCUUGAUAGACCUAAAUAUAAAGCUUUAUUACAGCUGUCACAUAAACUCAACAUUAACCAAGAAAAUGAAACAUUGAUCAAUGAACCAUGAAAAUGAGGUCAAGGUCAGAUGAACCAUGCCAGGCAGACAUGUACAGCUAACAAUUCUUCAAUACAACAAAUAUAGUUGACUUAUUGCUUAUAAAUAAAGAAAAACAGACCAAAACACAAACACUUAAAACUUAGCAAUGGACAGUGAAAAUGAGGUCAAGGUCAAAUAAAACCUGGGUAACCGACAUAUAGAUCAUAAAAUAUUUCCAUACACCAAAUAUAGUUGACCAAAUGCAUAAAGUAUUAGAAAAAUAGACCAAAACUAAAAAACUUAACUUUGACCACUGAACCAUGAAAAUGAGGUCAAGGUCAGAUGACACCUGUCAGCUAGACAUGUACACCUUACAAUCAUUCCAUACACCAAUUAUAGUAGACCUAUUG